rnacentral:rRNA from 1 species
AGUCGAACGGGUAGUAAUACUAGUGGCGCACGGGUGAGUAACAUGUGGGAAUCUGCCUUAAAGUUUGGGAUAACUGCGGGAAACUGUAGCUAAUACCGAAUAUACUGGAAACAGGAAAGAAGAAAUUCGCUUUAAGAUGAGCCCGCACCUGAUUAGCUAGUUGGUGGGGUAAAGGCCUACCAAGGCGAUGAUCAGUAGCUGUUCUGAGAGGAAGAUCAGCCACACUGGGACUGAGACACGGCCCAGACUCC